UGCGGAGACCAUCCGCAAAUUUUUUCACGGC
rnacentral:sRNA from 1 species